AUUCUUUGCACUUGCUAGAGAAGGUACAUACUGCAUAAGCUUUUACUGUCAUCAGGUGAUGCAAUUUAUAGAUUUCCUACAAACUGAGGCCUUGCUGUCAAAUCACCAUUCAUGAUUGAAAUCUAAGUUCCUUCAUUAGAGACUGUUGCGCUUGCAGUACAAAUUGCACAGCCGUUGGGAAAAUGGAAAGAAAUCUUCUUGAGUUAAUUGGGGGAGUAGGUGGGACAAUGACGAAUCUAGAUGUGAUGUUUUGAUUCUUAGACAUUCUUUUGACAUAGUGGGAAUAAAAUUUUCUUAAUACUAAUCAACGAUUGAGGGAAUAACAAAGGCAUAUAGCUGGUCGGAUAUAGGUUUAAUACAUAAUAUGUACAUGGCUUUCAUUUCUGCAAUAAGAUUCUGUGAGGUCUUGCCGAUCAUACGGCAAAUAAGUUUAGCAAAAGUGCCAAACCAGGGAGGUUUAGAAGUUGAAAUCAACCAAAAAAAGGUGAAAAAGAAACUCAGUUUCAGGACCUCUUCAAAUGGUAAAGGGAAUUUUUUUUUUUUUCUAAUAACAAGGUAAUUCUGCUUUGGAUUUCUACUCUCUACUGUGCAGACACCCUUAUUUAACUGGUGUUUCUUUUGCUUCUUAAACUAAAUACAUUUUUUUUGACAAUGUUUAUAAUGAGGAAUGUGUUACAAUCUAAUUGGGUGAAUGGUCCAGAUAGAUUUCAUAAUGAAAAUAGUGGCCAUAUUCUUGAUGUGAAGAUAUUUAAAUGCCAGAUAUCUGAAGGGCCACUGGUAGAUACAAAUAGAAAUACGGGAAAUGACCAAUGUGAAGGAGGCUAAAUAUCAUUUAGGACGGUCUAGUUCAUAUUGCCGGCUCUUAGUCUCUGGUUUAGAUCUAGCUGAUACAACUUUGACUGAGCUACAUCCCAUAUAUAUUUGGUUUACUUCAUUUUAUGUUUAUUAUUUGCUUCAUUCUUCUUUUUCUGUGUUCUUGCUUGAGAAAUGCAAGUUUUUAAGAAGAAAUACGAUACAGGAGGAAAAUACUUCGAACUUUA
rnacentral:misc_RNA from 1 species